CACAAAUGCGUAGCCAGGUUGCCCGUGGCGGCAAAGUGUGAGGUGACAAGGAAGCGAGGCCAGCAAUCACAGCACGCGUCAGCUCUCAGGUGCGCGUCGUAAAAGACUUGGGCUGCGAGAACUACACAUCAUCUGGAGUCAACCAUGGUCAAUUUGAAUUUUUCUCCCUUAGCUCAGAACCCUGUUGGGAAAGAGAUAGUUGAAACUAACAAGGAGAUUGCCUGCCUAAAACACAGUUCCAAAACAGAAUCUUAGCCUUAAGAUG